GACGAACGCUGGCGGCGUGCUUAACACAUGCAAGUCGAACGGAAAGGCCCUGCUUUUGUGGGGUGCUCGAGUGGCGAACGGGUGAGUAACACGUGAGUAACCUGCCCCUGACUUUGGGAUAACUUCAGGAAACUGGGGCUAAUACCGGCUAGGAGCUCUCGCCGCAUGGUGGGGGCUGGAAAGUUUCGGUGGUUGGGGAUGUACUCGCGGCUUAUCAGCUUGUUGGUGGGGUAGUGGCUUACCAUGGCCUUGACCGGUAGCCGGCCUGAGCGGGGGAGCGGCCAAGUUGGGACUGAGAUACGGCACAGACUCGUACGGGAGGCAGGGGUGGAGAAUAGUGCACAAUGGGCGGAGGCCUGAUGCAGCAACGCCGCGUGCGGGAUGACAGCCUUCGGGUUGUAAUCCGCUUUCGCCUGUGACGAGGCGUGAGUGACGGUAAUGGGUAAAGAAGCACCGGCUAACUACGUG
rnacentral:rRNA from 1 species